AUGGUUGUUGUAUCCAGGCCACGUGGUAGUAUUAUUUUGUCUGUGUUUAGAGUUUCUCAGUUUAGGCCUUAGGGUAGCCUAAUCUCUUAUCCGACUUAUCGCUUUAGAGAUAUUUCCUGAAUACUACAUGGUAUUGCAUGAGUGUUAUUAUCUCCACGCCACUGAGAUCACUGUAAGAUGUCCGAAGAUUCUGACAUUGCUGAUGUUGAAAUGAAUACCACAGAUUUUUCAGAAUGUAAUACAAGAGAAACUGAGACACAAGAACAGAAGACAGAAAUUAAACAUAAGAAUCAUUAUUCAUAAAAGCUCUAUUGGCAUUAACGCCGACCUAACCACAGCCAGCUACCCAGCCAUGGAUCGAUACGCUUGUGACACCAGUGAGGGCAAAUACACCCAAAGAACAUUUGAAACGACAUCAAAACACUGCACAUGGCAGAGAAAGACAUCAAUGUACAGAAUGCGGGAAAGUAUUUACCAGAAAAGAUAAUUUAUACAGACACACAUUCGGUAAUACAAACAUCCCUGACAUUAAAAAACCCGACCUGAUGCAAACAAAAGCUGCCAGCACCAAGCACUGAUUGAAUCAAAUAGAAAUUGGACUUUAAACCAACACCAACAAACAAAUCUAAACUGGACUCAAAAACCAGAAUGUAAAACACAGAUCACAGAUCGCCCCAGAAACCAUCAACAUGACAGUGGAUGACUUUGACAACACACCAAGGUGGGCAAAAAGACUACAUGAUCAGAAGCUUUCACUACAAAAAUUGUUUUCUCAACACCUCCUCUGACGUUGAGGAUUUCAAUGCCUCCCUGUACAUAUACCCAGAUUUUAACAAACGACUACAUGUUCAGAAGCUUUCACUACAAACAUUGUUUUCUCGGCACCUACUCUGACGUUGAGGAUUUCAAUGCCUCCCUGUACAUAUACCCAGAUUUUAACAAAAGACUACAUGAUCAGAAGCUUUCACUACAAAAAUUGUUUUCUUGAUACCUACUCUGACAGUUGAGGAUUUCAAUGCCUCCCUGCACAUGUACCCAGAUUUUAACCUUGAGAAACACACCUUGCCCACCAACUUUGCAGGUGUUAUAGCUGUCUUCUCUGACACAAAAAUCUACAACCCAAAAACACAUCCCGGAUUUGUUAACAGCUAAAGCUCUUUCCUAAAUCAAAUACUUGCUGACUGACCAAGUUUUCAGAGCCUGUCGAGAAAACAAAAAACUUUUGCAUGGCAUUUAAAUUUUAGAAAUAGACUCAAACGCACACUGUUGCUCGCUUUCUGUGAUUUAGAUUUUAAUUUCAGAUAUAUGUGGUGGAACUAAUACUUAGGGCAUUUAACGCAGAGAUUUAUACAUACACGCAACACAGAAACACAAUUUCUUACUUUUACAUUAAAAGACAAGUACAGUCAGACAGUGUGACAUCUCCAUUAACCAUAUGCUUUUUUUGGG